rnacentral:rRNA from 1 species
UACGGAGGGGGCAAGCGUUGUUCGGAGUCACUGGGCGUAAAGCGCACGUAGGUGGAUUAUCAAGUCAGGAGUUAAAGGCAACGGCUCAACCGUUGUAAGGCUUUUGAAACUGGUAGUCUAGAGUGUUGGAGAGGAAUGCGGAAUUUCCGGUGUAGCGGUGAAAUGCGUAGAUAUCGGAAGGAACACCAGUUGCGAAGGCGGCAUUCUGGCCAAUAACUGACACUGAGGUGCGAGAGCAUGGGUAGCAAACAGG